UGCUGCACUCGUGCAGCUCCGGGUGGCAAACGGGGUGAAGUGGGGGCGAGGGCGAGAGGAAGUUGAGGUGCUGGAGCGUCAGAAACGCUGCCUUGGCUUCCCCUGCUCUUGGGAGGCUGUCCCAAGACGGGGCUGGAGGGCUCUGCACGGCGGACUUCCAAGUUGCCCCGGCACAGCAGGAGGUCGGGAGUUUUGAGCCCCCUGAGGGCGGUACCCCGGAGGUCCCAAGUCCCCACGAGAAGCCGGGUGCACAGGACGGCGUGGCGCGCUCGGAGCGCACCGAGCCGAGCAGAAGCAAAAGAUAAACCCUGAUGGGCCCGGGGGCUGGCUGGCUGGGGCGCAGAGUCAGCGCGGACCGGGAGCGCCUUUCGUUUUAAGGAGCCUUACUUCUGGGAAGGGACAGGGAACUGUCAAUCAGCGAGGGAGGGAGCGCACCGGCGCUGGGUGAUGUCAGCGGAUCAUCUGCUCGAUAACAAAGAGAGGGUAUUACAGGAGAAAGUUGCAGCGGCGGCGGCGGCCACGGCGGCACCCCGGAGCAUCGGAGACGAGGGGCCAGCGGGCGAAGGGAGGAGCGGGGGGACGGCUGCUGCCGCAGCAGCUUAAGACCAAGGAAUUGAAAGGGCUGUAGGGGGAGGCAGUGCGAACCAGCCCCGACUGCCCCUCCUCUUCCUCCUCCUCCUCCAAACUCGCAGGGUUCAGCCCCAGCGCUCGCUCAGCCACCGGGAGCACCCGGACGGACGGGAGGCAGCCGCGCGGCCCCGAGCUGGGCACGGUCCCCAGGCGCCAUGGAUAGCGACGACGAGAUGGUGGAGGAGGCGGUGGAAGGGCACCUGGAUGAUGAUGGAUUACCACAUGGCUUCUGCACGGUCACUUACUCCUCCACGGACAGAUUUGAGGGGAACUUUGUUCACGGAGAAAAGAACGGACGGGGCAAGUUCUUCUUCUUUGAUGGCAGCACCCUGGAAGGGUAUUAUGUGGACGAUGCCCUGCAGGGCCAGGGAGUGUACACUUAUGAGGACGGGGGCGUUCUCCAGGGCACAUAUGUAGACGGAGAGCUGAAUGGGCCCGCCCAGGAGUAUGACACGGAUGGGAGAUUGAUCUUCAAGGGGCAGUACAAGGAUAACAUUCGGCAUGGAGUCUGCUGGAUAUACUACCCAGAUGGAGGCAGCCUUGUGGGAGAAGUAAAUGAAGAUGGGGAGAUGACUGGAGAGAAGAUAGCCUAUGUGUACCCUGAUGAGAGGACAGCACUUUAUGGAAAAUUCAUUGAUGGAGAGAUGAUAGAGGGAAAACUGGCUACCCUUAUGUCCACUGAAGAAGGAAGGCCUCACUUUGAGCUGAUGCCGGGAAGUUCGGUGUACCACUUUGAUAAAUCGACAUCAUCUUGCAUUUCUACCAGUGUUCUUCUUCCAGAUCCAUAUGAAUCAGAGAGGGUUUAUGUUGCUGAAUCUCUCAUUUCCAGUGCUGGAGAAGGACUAUUUUCAAAGGUAGCAGUGGGACCUAAUACUGUUAUGUCUUUUUAUAAUGGAGUCCGGAUUACACACCAAGAGGUUGACAGCAGGGACUGGGCUCUUAAUGGGAAUACCCUCUCCCUCGAUGAAGAAACGGUCAUUGAUGUGCCUGAGCCCUACAGCCACGUGUCCAAGUACUGUGCCUCCUUGGGACACAAGGCAAAUCACUCCUUCACUCCAAACUGCAUCUACGAUAUAUUCUAUUUAUUUGACAGAGAGAGACACAGCGAGAGAGGGAACACAAGCAGUGGGAGAGGGAGAAGCAGGCCUCCCGAGGAACAGGGAGCCCGACGCGGGGCUUGACCCAGGACCCCGGGAUCAUGACCCGAGCCGAAGGCAGACGCCUAACGACUGAGCCAGCCAGGUGCCCCCAUUUUGAGUUGUUUUAAAAUGUUAUUAGCUAUUUGCCAUUUUCAAAGCAUGAGAGGAGGGGUAUGGAAUGGCUAGGAGCUUUACAUUUAUUUAGCAUGACUCCACAUACACCUGUGAAUCCAGAAGAAUCAUCAACAUCAACCCAAAGGGUCUAGUUCAUUACGUAAAUGUUAAGGGUAUUGAAUAUAAAUGAACUGAUCAGGGGAAGUAUCUGAAGGACGGGAAGCUUCAGCUCAUGGUUUAAAGAAGAUAAUAGGAAUUUUAUUAGAUGUGGUAGAUUUGGGUACUCUUAGGACAGCUUUGAGCUGAGGAAACCAGGAACCCCUUGUUCCUCCCCAAAUCACAGCUCACAUUCCCAAACUCACUCCUACAACAUUCCCAAAGAAAAAAGCCAAUGACACACAUGUAAAAAUAGUACUCUGCUACCACCUGCACCUUGUGCCCAGGGACCCAAAGCAGUGGAUUCUAGUAAGUGGGGCGUUAUUAAGGGAGGCACAGUUAAGCAUCAAACUGAAGCAGGUGUGAGACCUCCUGCUUGAUCUUCCCUCCCUCAGUUGACCAGUCUUUGAUUUUCUCACACUUCCUUCCAUUCAAGGAAGGAAAGGGAAGCAAAUAAGAUGACUAAUCCAGACUCUGAUGCUGGAUUAGCUUCAUCACCCGGAUGGAGACACAUCCAUAUCUGGAUCUUUAAGACAGAGUUUCACCCACUGACACACAAUAUUAGUAUUCUUCCUCCUUGCAGGAGAGACGGGGAUGAGAUUAAAAUUUUAAUGCAAAUUGGGUGACUCUGAGAAGCUAAAAUCUCAAAAGGGAAGGAUCAGGCAUCUUUUUGGGUAUUAAAAUUGGUGUGGAAUCAAGGGUGGUAGAAUAAGGUAAGGUGAGGAAGACCGAGACCAAAUUAUUUUAGUCUCAGUGAUCGUCCCACAUAUACCUCUCACUAAAUGUCUGCCUUGAGGUUUUAAUGCUCCAAACUGUUCUGUCUGCUGGUUCAUGUUACACUUGAAAGUAUUUCAGUGGCCAUAUCCAGAAUUAGAUAAGUCAUUCAGAAGGAUUUUAUGCUAUGCUCGACAUUUAUUUUUUUAAAAAGAUUUUAUUUAUUUGAGAGAUAGCAAGAGAGCACAAGCAGGGGGAGCAGCAGAAGGAGAAGGAGAAGCAGGCUCCCCACUGAGCAGGGAGCCCGAUGAUGCGAUGUGGGGCUCCAUCCCAGGACCCUGGGAUCAUGACCUGAGCCGAAGGCAGAUGGUUAACCAACUGAGCCACCCAGGCACCCCUGUGCUCGACAUUUAAUUUCAGUUCAGCAUCUGACUGAUUUGGGGUGGUUCAAUAAGAAAGUUCUGCUCCAAAACUAUUUUAGAAAACAACUGUUGCCUUUUAUAUAAAAACAUAAUGCUAACUAACUCUACAGCAACAUACUGGUAUAUGUUUUUCUUAAAAUUUUGUUUCUUUGUGAAAACCAAAAGCCAUGGUUUUGGGAAAUUAGAGCCUCACUUCUUAUACAUAGAAAAAGAUGAAUGGAUUUAUCUAGCUUGCUACUAAAUUUUUUUUUUUUUAAAGAUUUUAUUUAUUUGACAGCGAGAGCACAAGCAGAGGGAGAGAGAGAGAGAAGCAGGCUCCCCACCGAGUAAGGAGCCCGAUGUGGGACUCGAUCCCUGGACCCUGGGAUCCUGACCCGGGCCGAAGGCAGCCGCUUAACCAACUGAGCCACCCAGGCAUCCCUGCUACUAAAUUUUUACUUCAAGUAUCAGAAUGCUUCCAGCUUCAAGAAACAUAAAAACCCAACUCAAUAUGGCUUAAGCAGUAAAGAAAAUUUAUUACCUCACAUAAUAAGACCCUCACAUAAUGAGACACUGUUGAGUGACCCUGGAGUUGUUAAUUCAGCAGCUCAGCCAGGUCCUUUCCAUCUUUCUGCUCCGCAAUUCUCAGCUUGUCAGGUUUGCCCUCAGGGACCAGCCCACCUCACAUUCACAGUAUGGCUGUUGUAGUUCCAGACAUCACAGCCAGCAUCCAGUGGGUGAAAAGGAAAGUCUCUUCUCUGUACCACUGCGGAAACCUAAAUGAAUCACUUGCAAGGGCCAUGGCGGUGUCGUGAUUAUCCGAGGGAAGCAUAGGGCUUUGUGGAGAAGAGUGGGUGGCCCAAACAAAGCUAGGGUUUUCCCAGCAAGAAAGAAAGAAGAAGUGACAGUUGGGCUGACCAUCCACAGUAUCUGCUUCAUCUGCAACACAGGUUUUGUUUUAUUUUCUUCAGAGAAGAAAGGUUAGUCUCUUUAAAUAAAUAAAUGGAUUUUUAAAUUAAUUCACAUCAAUUUAGAGAAUUCUCAAGUGGUGGGUAUGGGAGAGGUUCUACAAAUAUACAUUUAUGUAGAGUUUAUAAGGUGGUUUUAAAUAUUUAGAUGAUUUCUUAACAGCCAUAUGAUAGAGGUACUGCUAUUAUCCCAUUUCACAGAAGGGAGAACUGAGGCAUAGAGAUGUUAAGUAACUUGCAAUUAAGUAAUAGUCAUGGAAGUGGUAGAGGCAGAGUCUGAAGCCAGACGGCUGGGCUCCAGGCUAUUCUCUUAACCACAGUUGUGGGAGCUCCUAUCUCCUCCUGACCUUGACAUGCUAAGGCCAUCGUUAAUAUCCUUAGUCCUCCUUUCCCUUGUUCAUUUGCUUAGCGCCAAUCAACUGAUCUCACAGACUGUGGUCCCUCCUCGAGCCAUGGGACACCCAGACCAGCUUCCCCUACUUGUAUUCUCACCACUUUCUGCCCGGAUCCAGAACUCCCAGACCCCUCUGCCUGGAUUUCAGUCGUAGCUUCUCCAUCGCAUCUCAUCUUCCAUUCCUCACCAGCACCACAUGAAGCUCCCUCAGUGACAAGGCUUCCCCGUUCCUGCCGGUCCUUGGUGGCACUGGGAGGGCCAUGUGCUGGAAAGGAGCUGGGCUCAACAGGCAGACUGGUUUUUUGCUUUGUAUUUUUGUUUUUUUUCCUACUUUGCCCAUCCCCUGCCCUCUUCGGGCAACCACCAGUUUUUUCUCUGUGUUUAUGAGUUUGUUUCCGUUUUUUUUGUCUGUUUUGUGUGUGUGAUUUUUUUUUUUCUUAGAUUCUAUACAUAAGUGAAAUGAAAUGGUAUUUGUCUUUCUCUGUCUGACUUAUUUCACUUCACAUAAUACCCCCUAGGUCCAUCCCUGUUGUCCCAAGUGGCAGGAUUCCAUUUUUGUUUAUGGCUGAGUAGUAUUCCACUGUGUACAUAUACUACCUCUUAUUUAUCCAUUCAUCAAUCUGUGGAUGUUUAUGUUGUUUCCAUAUCUUGGCUAUGGUAAAUAAUGCAGGAAUGAACAUAGGGGCACAAAUGUCUUUUCAAAUUAGUGUUUUGGUUUUCUUCGGAUACUCAGAAGGGGAAUUGCUAGAUCAUUUGGUAAUUCUCAUGUUAAUUGCUUGAGGAAUCUCUAUACUAUAUUCCAUAAUGGCUGCACCAGUUUACACUCCCACAGUGCACCAGGGUUUUCUUUUUCUCCCCAUCCUUGCCAACAGUUGUUUUCUCUCAUCUUUUUGAUAUUAGCCAUCCUGAUAGGUGUGAGGUAAUAGCUCAUUAUAGUUUGAUUUGCAUUUCCCUGAUGCUUAGUGAAGUUGAGCAGUUUAUCAUGUGUCUGUUGACCAUCUGGAUGUCUUCUUUGGAAAAAUGUCCAUUUAGGUCCUCUGCCCAUUUUUUAAUUGGAUUGUUUGCUUUUGAGUCAGCCUGGUUUUAAUCGGCUUUGCCGCUGUCUUUGUGACAUUGGGCUAUAGGUUGGACUCUAGCAAAUGUGGAUAAAACCUGCUGCACAGGGGUGCUCUGGGAUUGAAGAGACUGAGUGAUGCGUGCUGUGCCCCCACCCUCUUCCUUCCUCCAGUGCAGUCACCUGCACCUCCCUGUCUUUUGAAAUGCUGGGCUCUCACCCCCUCGAGACCUGUGCAUGUCUUCCUCCGGGGUAGCUGCCUGGCUCCCUCCCACCUUCAAGUCCUCACUGAAAUAGGCCUACCUUGGCCACCCCACCUAAACUGCAACCCCCUUCUCCCCCCAGAAUCCCCAAACCAGUUUGCCUUCCUUUCUUUUUCUCCAUACCACCCAUCACCUUCUAACUUACUAUCUAAUUUAGUAAUCCAUCACGCUUGUUUAUGGUCUCCUCCCACUAGACUGUCCGCUCCAGGCGGGCAUGGAUUUCAGUCUGUUUCAUUCACUGGUGGGUCUUCAACAGCUGACGCACAGUAAGCAUUCAAGAAAUUCAAUGAAGGAAUGGGACAGAGUGGAUCGUAAUGGUUAAGAGAGCUUUGGCAAUCGCCUUAGGUUGAAAACCCAGCUCUGUCAUGUCCUAACUGUGGACAUAACUUCUUUGUGCCUCAGUUUUCUUUAUUCGUAAAUUUGUAAGUUUUAACAAUUUUUGUAAAAUUGCACGAAUAAUGAUACCUGGGGGAAAAAAAGAAAAGAAAAAGUUUGUGUUUGAGGCGUGGUGCAGGUUCACUAACCGUGGCCCUACUACUUCAGAGUGCCAAAGCCUGCCUCCUUCCGAGAAGUCCCCAGUGAAGACGCCUUGCCCGGCAAAGCUCCCCUGACUCUCCGGGCCCGCCCUCACUGGUCCCCCCUCUCUGCACCACACGGAGGCCAACAGGCCACGCCAAAGUGUGCGCUGCGUAGACUGCUGAAUGAGUGAAGCAUCCAGCUCGCUUCUCACUUACAUGACAGGCUUUUGGGAACCAGCAAGUGUUUCUUCCUGGAUGCAUAUGAAGCAAUCUCCAAAUAUUUGAGUUCCAAAGCAACCCAUUAAUUCUUCAUGGUCCAGCUCCCUCUUGUGGUAAGGAUCUGGUACUGUUUCAGACCUGGAGCUCUAAAACAAAAAGAACUUAAGCAAAAGGAAGAUUUAAUACAUUUCAAAGACAAACAUAAACGCUGUGCUGAAGUUUACCCCCAUCAUCAGGUGGAACUUUGAUGAACCAACUGAAGACACCACUUUCAGGACUUUUUAACGUUUCAAAUAAGCCCAAAUUUCAAAAGAGCCAAUAACACGUUUGAAGCCUACGGUAAACUAAGUUGAACAGAACUUGUUUAUUUUUCAAAACAAACCAAAGCAUUUCACGUCAUAUAGCUCUUUAAAAUCUCUAUCUGGCUAGAGCACAGUUUUCUGCAAAACACGGGUUAUAAAUUCAUUAGUCCUGAAUUAAUCUAAUCUUGUACUUCCCUAACCUAUCACUUCUUUUUCUUUAUGAGUCAACAUGAGUUGUGAGAGAGUCGUGGAUCACCAGGGGACAUUACCUUCUAGUUAACCUUAUGCACAAACUAUGCAGAACCAAAUGCAAGUAUUUAAGAUACCUUCACCAAUGAGCAGCUUCCCGAGUUUCUUCUAAUCUCUAGAAUCUAGCUCAUAGUUGGGGCAGAGGGAUAUAGUUUCUCCAAAACAAGAGAAUCUUAAGUAGCUUAAAAUAAAAAAUGGAGUCAUAUUCAAGCUCACCAUGUGAGCGGGAUAUAUACUGGGGGGAGCUCUGUUCCAUCCAUACCUACCAAAAUUGUCCCUAAAAGGAAAAUAACUUAUCCCAGUAGAAUGGAGGUAUCAGAGAAAUUUCUCAAAAUUUCUUUACACAGUAGAGCUAUCCAAAAUUUAGCACUUGGCCUGUGUGUGUGCGUGUGUGCGUGUGUGUGUACUGGAACACCACUUAUGUAGGGAAGAUCUACAGCCCCAUGACUAUGUGAAACAGCCAGAAAUCUGAAAGCAUGUGAUUGCUGAGCAGCCAAUAGCUAUUUCAAAGUUCAUGCCCUUUGUUCUGUAGAACCUCCCUGACGCAACCACCAUGGAAUGUCAGCCUUCCAGCCUCAGAGCCUCCGGACCCGUGAGAGGUGGGGGCCAGCAAGAGAGAGCAGAGGGAGUAGCAUUAGAAAAUGUGGCUGGUUU